GAGUAAUUUUUUACUUAAUUAGAUUAAUAAGGGUAGUUAAUUUUUAAUAAAAAAAGUAAUUUUUGAUAAAAUGAUGUAGUAUUGAUUAAAGAAAUAUUAGUUUGUUUUAUAGUUAAGUAGUACUGUGAAGGAACGUUGAAAUAAAUUUUAAAGAUAUUAAGUUCAUAAAAAGUAAAUGUGUUCAUUGUACCUUGUGUAUCAGGGUUUAUUAAAUUUGUUGUAAGGAUUUUAUAAUUCCCGAUUUAAAACGUGCGAAUAUAUUAAGUUAGUUGAUGUAAUAUAAUCAUUAAUCAUAGUAUAUUUGUAAUGAAAUGUUAUUCGAUUUUUAAGAUAUCUGGUUUUCUAAGAAACUAAUUCAAUUAGGCUUGUUUUUGUAAAAACUUAAUUGUUGUAAGUUUUUAUAGGGGACAAUGAAAUAGUUUAGGGGAUAAGCUCUAGAUUAAAUAAUUAUAAAUGAUUAUUUUUUAUAAAUAAUUGUAAGCUUUAGAUUAGCUAGCAGUGGUAAUUUUGUUAUAAAUUAUAUUAUUUUUUUUUAAAAGAUUUUAUAAGUUUUUAAUUUUUUAUUAGAAUACAGAAAUAAAUUUUUAAUUUAUGGUAAUAAUGAUAAAAUUAGUAUAUAAUAUAUUGUACAAAGUAUUUAAUUUGUUAAUUUGUAUUAAGGAACUAGGCAAAUUUUACACUCGCCUGUUUAACAAAAACAUGUCUUUUUGUGGUGUAUUUAAAGUCGGGCCUGCCCACUGAUAUUGUAUUAAAGGGCCGCGGUAUCUUGACCGUGCAAAGGUAGCAUAAUCAUUAGUCUUUUAAUUGAAGGCUGGAAUGAAUGGUUUGACGAAGUGUGAGCUGUCUCAAUAUAAAAUAUAAAAUUUAACUUUUGAGUUAAAAGGCUUAAAUUUAAAUGGAGGACGAGAAGACCCUAUAGAGUUUUAUAUAAUUUAUUAAUAAAUUUAAAUAGAUGUGGUAAUUUUUAUUGGUUAAUUAUAUUGGGUUGGGGUGACUUAAAGAUAGGAAGAACUCUUUAAUUUAUAAAACAUUAAUUUAUGAAAUAUAUGAUCCAUUUUUAAUGAUUAAAAGAUUAAAUUACCUUAGGGAUAACAGCGUAAUUUUUCUUGAGAGUUCUUAUCGACAGAAAAGUUUGCGACCUCGAUGUUGGACUAAGAAAAUGAUUUGAUGUAGCAGUUAAAUUAAUAAGUCUGUUCGACUUUUAAAUUCUUACAUGAUCUGAGUUCAGACCGGCGUGAGCCAGGUCGGUUUCUAUCCUUAUUUUAAAAGAAUAUUUUAGUACGAAAGGACCAAAUAUGAUAAAUAAUUUAUUAAGGUUUUGAUUAAUAUU
rnacentral:rRNA from 1 species